GUAAAACACUGUGACCUGGAGCCAGUUCUGUUUCUUACUAUAUCUGUAGCCGAUAAUCAGACCUUACACCAUAUUUUCUGCAACUGACUAAAAUUUAAAGCACAAAACCUGUACCAGUUGAUGGACCUGACAUUGAUAAACACUCAUGAAGUCAGUAUAAUUUUAAAAGCAUGUGUGUUUCUUAAAAAAGGGAGCAUAAAACGUCAGAUGAAAUAACCACGAAAAUUUGAAGAAUAGUAAUAUGGAUGACUACUGUAUGGAUGAGUACUGUUUCUUAAAAAGGGUUGUAAAAGGGUUGUAAAAUUGUAGUUUUUCUGUAGUAAAAAGUCUUUGUUUCUUUAGUUUUACAAACUGGCAAGAUACCAAGCAGCCUGUGAUAGUUCAACCUUUUCAACUCCAAACCUUUUCAACUGCCUACUGACCUGAAUAGUGACUCGCAAAGUACAGUCCAAACAUAAAGAAAAAGAAAAACUCAAACUCAUUGGACGUACACUAUCAGCCCCGUACAUGCAAGACAUCAAACCAAACCAAGACAUCAAACCAAGACAUCAAACCACACACAAUGUCUCUCCAAGCUUGAAGACACGAGAGGUAGACGUUAAGUUAAGACUCUCUGCAACGCUAAUGAAUCGGCAGCAGUUGAAGUCGGACUCUUCUCCUAGAAAGAGGUAUACAUGUACAUGUACAAUAUACUGUGAUAGGAAGUCUUGUGAUAGGAAGUCUUACUCGAUUCCACCAGCUAAGAAAACGUUAUUU